UACGGAGGGGGCUAGCGUUGUUCGGAAUUACUGGGCGUAAAGCGCGCGUAGGCGGACCUGCAAGUCGGGGGUGAAAGCCCGAGGCUCAACCUCGGAACUGCCUUCGAUACUGCGGGUCUCGAGUCCGGGAGAGGUGAGUGGAAUUCCUAGUGUAGAGGUGAAAUUCGUAGAUAUUAGGAAGAACACCAGUGGCGAAGGCGGCUCACUGGCCCGGUACUGACGCUGAGGUGCGAAAGCGUGGGGAGCGAACAGG
rnacentral:rRNA from 1 species